AACGGCCGUACCAUGCUGAAUAUACCGGUUCUCGUUAGAUCACCGAAGUUAAGCAUCAUUGGGCGCGGUCAGUACUUGGGUGGGUGAC